UGGCUUCUGUUUCGUGCGAGAAGUUUUUUAGUUCUUUUCCUUACUCCUAAUUAUCCGGGAGUCUAUCGAAGUUUGUUUGCAGUCAAGCCGUGAAUCGGAAGACUAAAGGCAAUGCGAGGGCACCCACUUGGACUCACAAAAGGUCGUGUAACUAUCUAAACGAUGAACGGCGAUUAUGGAAGCCAA
rnacentral:other from 1 species